CUCACACAGAAUCUGUUCAGCUGCUUCCACUUCAUAAUCAGGACAGUGCCACCAACAGCAACAGGGAGGAAGAGACAGAAGCUGAGCAGCAGCCAGGUCUUCACUGUGUCCUUGGAGGAGCUUCUUGAGGACCGCAUUUCGUGCCUUCUUUAACCAGGAGAGGAUCUAGCACCGUGGGUCCACGCAUAUAAUCAAAAGACACACACAGAUGUUCUUGCACUUGAGCAUAAAUCACGGCGCCUUUAACUUGUGUGAAUGGAAUACGACUCGGGUAUGUACAUAUUAACUUCCCACAUCCUAGAUUCCUAAAAGAAUUGAUUGGCACAAGAGAUUAAAAGCGUGGGCACAGCAUCUGAUUGAUCAGAACGCUGGAGAAGCUGAAGCACACAACUCGGGAAGGGAGAUUUAAAAAAGAAAAUGUUCACAAGCAGAUUACAUUUCAGAAGAGCUGGAUCCUUGAUAGAAGGAGAGAAGCUGUUCUAAAAGGACAUUAAAUGAUUGCACAAGUAGGUGUUUCUUGAACUUGCUUCUCAUGUAUCCUUUCAACAGUCUCCAGCACCUCCCACACUCCUCAGACUAUAACAAGUGUGCGCUCAUCAGGAAGAAGUGCUUAUCACAUUUGCCAUGCCCUGCGCAGAGCUCUCUGCUCACCCCUGAAUGUCGCUUACAUAGAACCUGCUCCUUAUAACACCAGCAUUAUCUGCUUGGGGGAAAGCCCAGUUUAUCAAAACCGUUUCUCUAAGAUUGGCUAAGACUAAUGCAGGAAGAAACCGCAGUCCUGCAAAAGAAAGCCCUAUAGGGAAGGCAAUCUCCCAACAGAUUCUAACUAUUUGCAUCUUCAGUGAAGGUAAGCACAUAUUAAAUACGCAUUCCCAGUAAAACACUUUCCAUUCCUUGAAACCUACAGCCAAGAACAGGCCUGAUACCCAUCUUUCGGGUGAUUUCCACAGUGUCCAAAUCUAUCUUGUUGACUGUUGACUUCUUCAUAACAUGCCAAAGGAGCAUUUUUUGCACCUGGAAGUUCAGCAACAAUAUUGAUUACAACUGAAGGUAAUAGAAAAUGACAUACUCCUGUUACCUUUAACAUUUAUAACUUCUGGUAUUUGUCAGAGUAACACUUAGCUAGCAUUCCAACCCCAUCUCUAGCUGUUUAUGCUCAAAUUGUGAGAUGGACCCCACGGACAAAUGGAAUUACCUUAAAAAUCCAAAACAUCUUCCACAACAACCUCUGCAUACUUUUCUGGCUCAUUCUCAUCUCUGAGGAGGCCUUGAGUUGUGCAUGACAAGCUGCGUGUCAAAAUUCAGCCUGAAAUCCUCAUGUAACCGGAUACCCUUCCUCUUCCCGACAGCCAAUUCCUUUCCACUCUCCCCAAGUGUAGGAAAUCUGUCAUUUAGUCUCCUCUGUCUUUCCCUACACUACCUACUUCCCGCAUUCUCCAGCUUCCCCUUAUUUCAUGCAAGAGAGCAGGUGGCUGUACACCGUAAUCAGAUGUCAUCUUCUGCCCCUAUACUACUCCUUUCAAACCCGACUGAAACUCGGUUCAGACUUUUUGGGCAGUUUCACAGAUGAAGUGACAGAGACUGUGAACUAUGCAGCAAUGACACUAGGCAUACUGUUAUUAAAAAAUGUGCUGGAACUAGACGUUAGUACCAAUGAAAACAAAAUUGCCUCUCUUACCUUUCCCGUAGAGUCUCUGGCACUGUAGGUCAGGAGACUGGCAGCGUCCUUGGUAGCAGUAACCAGUGCCGUGCUCACAUUCGUACCCGUCCUGAAUAUACAGGUCGGGGGGACAGGCCGCAGACGUCCCGUUGCAGUACUCCGCGAGGUCGCACUGCGCAUCGGCGAGGGCCCGGCACUUGGUAUUCUUCUGUUUAAACUGCUCCUCUCAAUAGCUGCAAGCUGAGUGGGCAAAUGCUGAGGAACCUUCCCUGUACCGGUGCGUAGAGAGCAGUGCCCCAAAGCAGCAGUAGCAGGGAACGUUUCCCUGCUGCCUCGGCCUCCUGAGCUUUACACCAACCAGCUGUUCUGCCAGUUCUGCAGAAAGGAAGGCUCGCCAGGCGCCGGUGUGAGACCCUCCUGCAGCAGCAGAAACAGGGCUACAAAGAGGAACAGUAGCUCCACGGUGACGGGGCUGCUUUGGGAGUCAGGAGAUCGGACCAGCCCUCAGUCAGGCUUCCUGAAUGAAUCUGCACACAAUGCUGAGUUUUUCUGUGUCUCAGCUUUUCACCCGUAACAGGAUGAUUAUCAGACUCCCUUCUACCGGUCUUUAUCAAUGUCUUAUAUCUUUGAGGCAGAAACUGAACUCUCCAGGCUGGCAUUCAGCUCUGUUCCUGGUUCUGACCCAUUUCAUAUGACCUGUCCUUCAAACAUUAGCAAAUCACUUUAAGCGCAGUCUUUCGUCUUUCAGCUUUCCCAAUUAAAUUCUAUACGUAACACUAGUUGAACAAGACUCUCCAAGCCAGGCAUUCUGGGGAAACCAUACGACUAUAUACCACGAAAGCUAUCUUGUUCAAACAUUAUAUGUUAGAGAAAGUGCUCAUUUGCCUAGAGACAAUAGGGAGCACAAAUACGACUAAGCUUUUUGGAGCUGACUGUACAAACAAAAGCAGAAAACUAAUUUAUAGUCCUACUAUAGAAGAAUACUGUUUCUCCAAAAUUAAAAAAUGACCUUAACUUCUGAUAAUUAUGAACACAGUUUACCUGACAAUUUUCACAGCAUAAUCCCAAGGAACACUUCAUUCC